GUCACACAGAGGGGAUUCUGGCUUAGUGGCCUCUCCUAUUUAAACCUCACUGGCUGGAAUAAAAAAAGCUUUUCUCACUGUGUUACAACGUAACUGGUGCUGUUGCUGGUGUUGUCGCUGGCUAUGGACACUAUCAUUUGCCAUCUCUGGGGUUCAAUGCGUCCCUCAACUGCGAGGGAUUGUGGGAGAGAGCUGGAGAACCUGGAAACCCCCACAAACAGUGCCGUUUGAGUCAGUUUGCUCGACUGCGCUGUUCAGUUGCUGCUACUGUCUACAAGCACUGGUGGGGAUUUAUUGACUGUGUGUCCACCUCAACUACACUGGGCUCCAUCCACUCUAUCCGAGUUUCAGCUGGGGCUGCAACUGUGGUGCAUACGCUUAAAUUCACUCUUCUCUGACUGAAUGUAUACAUGCAGUGAUAGUUUCAUGAUCUGGUGUGCGUUGAUUUAGUACAAUUUCAGUCCGACUGGCAUGUAUUUUAAAAGUGUAGUUUUAUAGUUGGACUAACACGACGAUGUCAUGGAAA